rnacentral:rRNA from 1 species
GAUGAACGCUGGCGGCGUGCUUAACACAUGCAAGUCGAACGGUGAACGAGGGAGCUUGCUCCCUCCGGAUCAGUGGCGAACGGGUGAGUAACACGUGAGCAAUCUGCCCUGGACUCUGGGAUAAGCGUUGGAAACGACGUCUAAUACCGGAUACGAGGCGUGGGGGCAUCCCCAACGCCUGGAAAGAACUUCGGUCCAGGAUGAGCUCGCGGCCUAUCAGCUAGUUGGUGAGGUAACGGCUCACCAAGGCGACGACGGGUAGCCGGCCUGAGAGGGUGACCGGCCACACUGGGACUGAGACACGGCCCAGACUCCUACGGGAGGCAGCAGUGGGGAAUAUUGCACAAUGGGCGCAAGCCUGAUGCAGCAACGCCGCGUGAGGGACGACGGCCUUCGGGUUGUAAACCUCUUUUAGCAGGGAAGAAGCGAAAGUGACGGUACCUGCAGAAAAAGCACCGGCUAACUACGUGCCAGCAGCCGCAGUAAGAC